AUACGUAGGGAGCGAGCGUUGUCCGGAAUUACUGGGUGUAAAGGGGGCGUAGGCGGGAGUGCAAGUCAGAUGUGAAAUACAUGGGCUCAACCCAUGGGCUGCAUUUGAAACUGCACUUCUUGAGUGAAGUAGAGGUAAGCGGAAUUCCUGGUGUAGCGGUGAAAUGCGUAGAUAUCAGGAGGAACACCGGUGGCGAAGGCGGCUUACUGGGCUUUUACUGACGCUGAGGCUCGAAAGCGUGGGGAGCAAACAGGAUUAGAUACCCUGGUAGUCCACGCUGUAAACGAUGAUUACUAGGUGUGGGGGGACUGACCCCUUCCGUGCCGCAGUUAACACAAUAAGUAAUCCACCUGGGGAGUACGGCCGCAAGGUUGAAACUCAAAUGAAUUGACGGGG
rnacentral:rRNA from 1 species